GGACCGAGCCUCUGAUGGGUUCCCGUCCCCUGUAACAGCAACUCCAUGUGGAGGUGCUCGCUGGUUCCAGUGGAGUUGCUGUUGCCUGGGGCGAGGGCCACGGCACACCGCACAGAGG
rnacentral:pre_miRNA from 15 species